ACAUUGGAAGCGUGAAGUCGUAACCACUGGACCAGCAGAUGACUGGGCAUGGAGCCACCUGCAUCAGCACACAAGCGUCCAGUGGACAGAUGAGUCAGCAAGCAAGGCAUAAACACCACAAAGUGAAAAGCAUGGCAGCCAGGACCGGGGCGUCAGGCCCCCCACCUCCCAGGACUCCUCUGGAGAUACCCCCUCCCUAAGGUGACGCCAACACACAGCCUUUCUUUGCCUCCCUCCAUGCAAACGUGGCUUUCUGCAUAAGGCCAGAGGCCCCAGAGAAGGAUAUGCAUCAACUAGUUCCAGUCCAGCAUGUAGCAGCAGUGUCCAGCGCCUUCUGCAGGGUCCCGCCUACAACCCCCUGCCUGUAGCACAAGUCCACUCUACUAUCUCCCUGCCUUAACCCCGACCCCCAACCUCAGUACUCCCAGCAUCGGCUCAGGGCUGAUUCUCAUUAGCCCCAAAGCAAGACUAAUCCAUCCCCAUCCCUCUGUCUCCCCGACACCAAACACUCAUGAGCCCCCUUAAAAAUGUGCGCCACUGACCCCCUUCAUCUUUAACAUAUUUACUAAUUUUUUAAAAAAUGAAUAGCCUUUUCCUCUAAGUCAGUGGUCAGCAGACUUUUUCUACAAAGGACCAGAUGGUGAAUAUGUCAAGCUUUGCAGUUUGUCAUGACUAUUCAACUCUGCUGUUGUAACAGAAAAGCUGCCACGGUAAUUCCUCAACAGGUGUGUGUAGCCCCGUGUCAAUAAAACUUUAUUCACAAAACAAGUGGCUGGCCUGACUCACCCAAGAGCCUUAGUUUGCCAAGUCCUGCUCUAACUUAAAUCAUCUCUCAGUCAUAUACAGUGAUGUUUGAAAUACGGCAAUUUCAAGUACUGGCUACUCUUUUCCUUCAAAAAUACGUUACACCAAAAACUAUUAAAAAUUUUUAGAUGUUAAGUCUGUGAGCCAGUCCAAGUCAUCCCGGAAGCCCAGGCCUUGCUCUGGGAAUGUGACCUUAUUCAUCCCAGAGCCUAUGGGUCACCAAGUCAGCUCUUCUAGAAUUUUCCAGGCUGAAGAUGGAAAUGGCCAUUUCUCCCAGCUCUCUUCCACACUGUUGGGGUACGACAUAUACCCCCAGAGAGGGUCUCCCAGCUGCCA